AGAGAGAGAAUUUUUAAAAAGCAGCUGGGGCCUGGGGUUUCUCCCCCAGUACCCUGGGUCACCUCAGCCCAGAGCUGGCGGCAGGCCCCCAGCCCCUCAUGUCAGAGCCCCCUGUGUACUGUAACCUGGUGGACCUUCGCCGCUGUCCUCGGUCCCCACCCCCAGGCCCUGCAUGCCCCCUGCUGCAGAGGCUGGAUGCCUGGGAGCAGCACCUGGACCCCAACUCUGGACGCUGCUUCUACAUAAAUUCACUGACUGGCUGCAAGUCCUGGAAGCCCCCGCGCCGCAGUCGCAGCGAG
rnacentral:lncRNA from 1 species